GAAAUGAAUGGAUUGGACAAAAGCACUGGUAAAUCGCCUGAAACAAAACUGCCUGACACUCAAAUAGCUGCUAAUGGGACCUCCUGGCUAGGGCACAUCCAGCAUCCUGCCUCCCCCUGCAGCAUUUAAUUACUCCAGGUUUCCAGUCGCUCUGGUCUCUAACAGGAACUCUGGACACAGCUGAGCACUCAUUGGAGUAGGAUCCAGCUUUGCUGAAGUGCUUGCAAGCAGCCAGAGAAGAAA